AUUGAACGCUGGCGGCAUGCUUUACACAUGCAAGUCGAACGGUAACAGGUUAAGCUGACGAGUGGCGAACGGGUGAGUAAUGCAUCGGAACGUGCCCGAUCGUGGGGGAUAACACUUCGAAAGAAGUGCUAAUACCGCAUACGAUCUGAGGAUGAAAGCGGGGGACCAUAAGGCCUCGCGCGAUCGGAGCGGCCGAUGUCAGAUUAGGUAGUUGGUGGGGUAAAGGCUCACCAAGCCGACGAUCUGUAGCUGGUCUGAGAGGACGACCAGCCACACUGGGACUGAGACACGGCCCAGACUCCUACGGGAGGCAGCAGUGGGGAAUUUUGUACAAUGGGCGCAAGACUGAUCCAGCAAUGCCGCGUGCAGGAAGAAGGCCUUCGGGUUGUAAACUGCUUUUGUACGGAGCGAGAAGGCUCCCUCUAAUACAGGGGGCUUAUGACGGUACCGUAAGAAUAAGCACCGGCUAACUACGAGCCAGCCGCCGCGGUAAUAC
rnacentral:rRNA from 1 species